AUCCAGCUGACGAGUUCGAAAUAGGACGAAACGUGCGUCAAGCUGAAU
rfam:Schistosoma margrebowiei strain Zambia genome assembly, scaffold: SMRZ_scaffold0000405